UACGUAGGGUGCAAGCGUUAAUCGGAAUUACUGGGCGUAAAGCGUGCGCAGGCGGUUAUGUAAGACAGAUGUGAAAUGCCCGGGCUUAACCUGGGAACUGCGUCGGAUACUGGUUGGCUUGAAUCCGGGGAGAGGGAUGCGGAAUUCCAGGUGUAGCGGUGAAAUGCGUAGAUAUCUGGAGGAACACCGGUGGCGAAGGCGGCG
rnacentral:rRNA from 1 species